rnacentral:tRNA from 1 species
GGCUGGGUAGCUCAGAUGGUUAGAGCGUGGCAUUCAUAACGCCAAGGUCGGCGGUUCGAUCCCGCCUUCAGCCACCA